rnacentral:rRNA from 1 species
UACGUAGGGUGCGAGCGUUGUCCGGAAUUACUGGGCGUAAAGAGCUCGUAGGUGGUUUGUCGCGUUGUUCGUGAAAACUCACAGCUUAACUGUGGGCGUGCGGGCGAUACGGGCAGACUGGAGUACUGCAGGGGAGACUGGAAUUCCUGGUGUAGCGGUGGAAUGCGCAGAUAUCAGGAGGAACACCGGUGGCGAAGGCGGGUCUCUGGGCAGUAACUGACGCUGAGGAGCGAAAUCGUGGGGAGCGAACAGG